rnacentral:rRNA from 1 species
AGCGAACGCUGGCGGCAGGCUUAACACAUGCAAGUCGAGCGGGCGUAGCAAUACGUCAGCGGCAGACGGGUGAGUAACACGUGGGAACGUACCUUUUGGUUCGGAACAACACAGGGAAACUUGUGCUAAUACCGAAUAAGCCCUUACGGGGAAAGAUUUAUCGCCGAAAGAUCGGCCCGCGUCUGAUUAGCUUGUUGGUGAGGUAACGGCUCACCAAGGCGACGAUCAGUAGCUGGCUGAGAGGAUGAUCAGCCACACUGGGACUGAGACACGGCCCAGACUCCUACGGGAGGCAGCAGUGGGGAAUAUUGGACAAUGGGGGCAACCCUGAUCCAGCCAUGCCGCGUGAGUGAUGAGGCCCUAGGUUGUAAAGCUCUUUUGUGCGGAAGAUAAUGACGGUACCGCAAGAAUAACGCCCCGGCUAACUUCGUGCCAGCAGCCG